UCGGAUGGUUUAGUGAAGCUGUGGACCAUAAAGACCAACGAGUGCGUGAAGACGCUGGACGCCCACCAGGACAAAGUGUGGGGUCUCCACGCCAGCCGCAAGGAUGACAAGAUGGUGACGGGCUCUGCAGACUCUAACAUCGCCGUGUGGAUGGACGUGACUGAGGUGGAGCUGGCAGAGGAGCAGGCCAAACAGGAGGAUCAGAUACUCAAGCAGCAGGAGUUGUCAAACCUGCUGCAUGAGAAGAAAUACCUGAAGGCUCUGGGUCUCGCCAUCUCGCUGGACCAGCCUCACACCGUGCUCACUGUUA